rnacentral:rRNA from 1 species
GACGAACGCUGGCGGCGUGCCUAAUACAUGCAAGUCGAGCGCAGGAAGCCGUCUGAACCCUUCGGGGGGACGACGGUGGAAUGAGCGGCGGACGGGUGAGUAACACGUAAAGAACCUGCCCAUAGGUCUGGGAUAACCACGAGAAAUCGGGGCUAAUACCGGAUGUGUCAUCGGACCGCAUGGUCCGCUGAUGAAAGGCGCUCCGGCGUCGCCCAUGGAUGGCUUUGCGGUGCAUUAGCUAGUUGGUGGGGUAACGGCCCACCAAGGCGACGAUGCAUAGCCGACCUGAGAGGGUGAUCGGCCACACUGGGACUGAGACACGGCCCAGACUCCUACGGGGGGCAGCAGUAGGGAAUCUUCCACAAUGGACGAAAGUCUGAUGGAGCAACGCCGCGUGAACGAUGAAGGCUUUCGGGUCGUAAAGUUCUGUUGUAAGGGAAGAACAAGUGCCGCAGGCAAUGGCGGCACCUUGACGGUACCUUGCGAGAAAGCCACGGCUAACUACGUGCCAGCCGCCGCUGUAA